rnacentral:rRNA from 1 species
UACGUAGGGGGCAAGCGUUGUCCGGAAUCAUUGGGCGUAAAGAGCGUGUAGGCGGUUUGGUAGGUCCGCUGUGAAAACUCGAGCUCAACCUCGAGACGCCGGUGGAAACCAUCAGACUAGAGUCCGGAAGAGGAGAGUGGAAUUCCGUGGUGUAGCGGUGAAAUGCGCAGAUAUCAGGAAGAACACCCGUGGCUAAGGCGGCUCUCUAGUACGGUACUGACGCUGAGACGCGAAAGCGUGGGGAGCGAACAGG